rnacentral:lncRNA from 1 species
AGCCGGGAGAGUCGUUCCUGAGAGCACAAGCACCCCCAAAUGUGAAGUGCACUCGGACACACACACACACACACACGCACGCACACACAAGCACUCAUGUUCUAAAGAGAGAGGUCUGAGUCCGAAGUUGCUGCUGCUGGGAGCUUGAGCUGAGAUGGACUGGUCUUCAUGGGCGCCCAAGGCGCUGGGUGCAGCUUUCCCCGAGACCCCCAGAUGGAAAGGAGGGAAGGAGGAACCCCACACACUCGCCUUUUGCGAGAAGAUCGGCGCGCACCCCAGAGUGCCCCAAGCCUUUGGAAUCUGCCUGCUGAGCGGAGCGCGCGAGCGUGGUGGACAGGUCCCGAACUUGGCCAGCGGGCUUUCUUGGCAACUUGCUUUGCGCAGUUCUCCAUGGAACCCUGGACCCACUGUGCUCCCGGCGCCUUGCCUUUUUUUUUCUUUUUCUUUCUCUCACUGUCUCUUUUUAAAUUUAUGAACUCGAAAUGAAGCGGAAAGCAGAUAUGCGCGUCAGCAUACUUUGGCGGUAGUUCUUCAUGUGGGGGAUGGUCAGCGGGAGAUGGCACUUCAUAAGAUCUGCGGUGGUCACCCCAGUCAUCAUCCGACGUGUUGCACCAGUCUGUGGCACUUCAUAAGGUCUGCAGUGGUCACCCCAGUCAUCAUCCGAUGUGUUGCACCAGUUUGUGGCACUUCAUAAGUUCUGCGGUGGUCACCCCAGUCAUCAUCCGACGUGUUGCACCAGUGUGUGUUGCUGUUUGAGCCGUGCUGCCGACCCCUUCCAGGGCAUCUGCCAUGGGCACCUCCUCCAGCCCGUGCACUAAGACUCAAGAGAGUCGAAGAACCAGGGAAUCGUUGUAAUAACAAGCAUUCUGAAUUGCAUCGUACUGUGUACUAGGAUGCUGGCCCACCACUAGUAUUCUCUGGUGCUCGUUGUGCUUUGGGAGAUCUUCUAUGCAACAUGGAAACCAUGAAUUGUACCACAGAGGGAGAUCUUCUGUCCCACUAGGAAACUGCGAAUUGUACCACAGAGGGAGAUCUUCUAUGCAACAUGGAGACCAUGAAUGGUACACACAGAGAGAGAUCUUCUAUCCACAUGGACACCAUGAAUUGUACCACAGAGGCAGAUGUUCUAUCCAACAUGGAAACCAUGAACUGUACACACAGAGGGGGAUAUUCCAUCCAACAUAGGAACCAUGAACUGUACACACAGAGGGAGAUCUUCUAUCCAACAUGGAGACCAUGAAUUUUACCACAAAGGAAGAUGUUCUAUCCAAAAUGGAAACCAUGAGUUGUAUGCCUAGAGGGAGAUCUUCUAUCCAAUAUGUAAGCCACGAGUUGGACACACAGAGAGAGAUAUUUUAUCCAACUUGGAAACCAUGAAUUGUACACACAGAGAGAUCUUCUAUCCAACACGGAAACAACGAGUUAUACCCACAGGGGGAGAUCUUCUAUCCAAUUCAGACCAGUCCCAGUGCUGACCAGUCCCAUCGUAUCUCUGACGGUGCAUAUCAGGAUCCGCAUUGAUCAGAUGCCGAAACCAUGGCUUGGAAUGGCUGCGAUGAAGCUGAGCUGCGAUUCAAACCCAGACACAGCUUUCUACAGAGAAGCACCUUUCUCCAGAUCUUCAUUGCCAUUUUGGACACACAGCUCCAAACCCAAAAUGUGUCCACUGGAUCAACCCACAAUGCAAACAACUGCUUUCUAAGGAAAAGCCGAGUUUCUAGGAGGCAGCCCACUUCUGACGUGUCCUUCAGUUAACAGGCUGCAGUGGACAGCGUGUGGUGGGUGGAGGAAGACGGCAGAUGAGAAAUUCAAGGAGAUUCACCACAGAGCAGCUUUCUGGCUCAGCUGUUCUAGGGUGCCAUGGAAAACACACCGCUUGACAAGGCUCCACCCUGGAGAUUUACUACUCAGUGAAAAGACACAUCCUAUUCACGGAUUGGGAUGCUGGAGUCCCCAUGUUCUGGGAAGAGGUCUGUCUUGGCAGGCUGCCUUCCCUCUGGAAAAGCGGCAUCUGGAGUGCCCACUCCUCUGACAAUACAACACGGAAUUGGCAGGGGGACACCUCCAGCCUUCACUAGACUUGCCUUGGUGUUAUCGCAUGCAGCCCGUGCAUUCAAGGUUCCUGGCCCCCGUGCUGGAUUGUAUGUGGAUUCUCUUUUGUGGCCUCUGCUGCUGUGAAUGGAACCCACAUUUAGAAUCAGCAACUCCCAGCAAAAUUGAGUACUCUGCAAUUCCUUAAAGCCCCUUUCUCUUUUCUCCAUGUUUCUCCAACCCAACGGUAGCCCAAGACAUUUUAGGUUGCCAUUGUGGGUGUUGUUUAUGGACUGUCUCCUUUGGGAGGCACUUUCUCGUUCUCUAAGAAGAAACAAAGCAAAACACAAGACCCAGCCUUCCCAGGUGUGUGAAGUCCUGCAUGGCAGCCCUCGCUGGCUCUCUGCGAACAGGGACAGAGCCCGACUCCUUCCUGUGGCUUCAUUUCCAUUGUCCUUGCUUCCUCGUAAUAAUUUUUGUGAAGAUUAUUCUGGGGCUGCAAAACUUAGCCUUACUUUUCAAAGUGUUCUUGCUCCUCCUCUCCCAAGCAUUUGCUGAAAUAAGAGGUUCCUCCGGGUUUUUGGAAACAUAUUCCUCAGUUCCUGACUUGACUCCAGAACGACACUUGUUUAAAGUUCACCCUCUUCUUCUCUGGGUUUCCAAUGUUGUCCUAAGGCUCGAGGUGUAGUUUUUUGUUAGUUCUUUUGUUGGUUUAGGUAGCAAUGACUGAAGCCUGUUCUCUCUAAGAGCUGACUACAAUUUUCUCUCUGCCUCUGAACAAACUAUUUUGCAGAGCUAGAGGUGUCCAGGCAUGGCCUCAGCCCUCACCCAUGCUGCUCUGGGCGCGGCCUCAGCCCUCAUCCAUGCUGCUCUGGGCUGUUCCACGGUCCUUUCCCCACUGCUGCAGGGAGGCCCAUCACUGGUCUGAGGCAUCCGCUCCUCCUGCAGGGUGCUUUAUUCCUCCUUCUUGCUGGAUUUCACAAACCACGAUGGCACUCAGGUCAGGGCAGCACACGAACCCCUGACACCUGGCUGAGGAGCAGGAUGAUGAGGGGGAAAGGAAGCUGAGGCCACAAACUUCAGGGCGGCCAGUGACUCUCAGCCCAAACCUCAGAGCUCCUCUUUGCAGAGUCUGCAGAGAGAGUGCGGCUCCCACUGUGCAAUGCACAGAGAGUGUCUCUGAAGUGACUCGCACCUGAAUCCAGUUCCAGCAACGCGAGGCUCCCGGGAAGGGCAGCUGCUCUUUCAGAGGGAGGCUCUCGCCCACCCCUCACACCUCAGCCUCUAUGCCCCUGGCCUUCCACGCUGGGAACAGUGUUACCCACCUCUGGGGAAAGAGAUGUGGUGAUGGCCCGGAUCCUGAAUCUCCCACCAGGACCAGUGAAUCCUGCAACCACGGCGGCAGGCCUGCACUGCACCAGGACUCUGGGCGAUGGAGCCUUGUGCCUUGCAGCCAGGGUUUUGGCCCCAUCACCAUGAAUAGUCUCCUGCUACAUAUAAGCCAACAAGGCUGCUUGUCCUGAUGAGUUCAAAACCUAGUUGAAAAUAUGCAGAGGAGUCCUCCUAACACAAGGCCCUGCUCUGUGAUUGCCUGGCCCGUAAAGAAAGGGUCAAGGUCCCAAGACAGAGCCCUACCUCACAAGACCUGUCCAGCAAGGACAGGGCUGUGAGCACUUGCAUUCCUUCCUUCUGCAACCCAGGAGCGAAGGCCGUCUUGGAUAUUAAUUUACUUACCUGGACUCCGAUCUACCGUGUGACUUUGGUCACGUUACUUCACCUCUCUUGGCCAAUAGUCUCUUUACUUUUUGCAACCCAGGGACUGGGCUUCUUCAGUGCCUCUUAGAACUCCUGAUCCUAAGGGAAAGGAUCUGCCCUUUGGGCAGCGUUUAAGUGUUCUCUUCCCUAAGCACCUCUCCUAUUCCAGGCUUUCUCUGUUCCAUGGAUUCCUUUUCCUCCCCAUGUGUGCAUUCUCUGGCACCUGCCAGAGGACCCCUUCCCAGAUGUUCCUUCCACCUUACCUUUCCAUUAUUUCCAUUCUUUCACCUUGCUUUGUCCUAAUCUGACUUUCUGAAGCCAUUAUCUAUUAUUUCAUUAUAAAAAGUCUAGCUUGGGACCCACCAAGUUCAUUUCAUGGCUGAUUAUUGGUUUGAGACCUGGAGUUUGAAAAACAGUGCUCUACAGGACCUUGAAAGACAAGUGCAUAACCCCUGUCAUUCAAGUGACUUCGGCACUGUGGAUCCUAGGACAGGUCCCUGAAGAAGGCAAGUGGUAGAGAAGGGAGAAAGGAUCUCAGGACGUGAGUUCAUAGGAGGCUGGGAAAAGUGUGAAAUGGUUUUAUGCUGGGAAAGCUAAACGGAGAGCUUCCUCCUUUCCACUGCGCCCUUGGAGCAGUACUGGCCGAAGGACUUUGUGA